UACGUAGGGGGCAAGCGUUGUCCGGAUUUAUUGGGCGUAAAGAGCGUGUAGGCGGCCAGGUAGGUCUGCUGUGAAAACUCGAGGCUUAACCUCGAGCUGUCGGCGGAAACCAUCUGGCUAGAGUCCGGAAGAGGAGAAUGGAAUUCCCGGUGUAGCGGUGAAAUGCGCAGAUAUCGGGAAGAACACCCGUGGCGAAGGCGGUUCUCUGGGACGGUACUGACGCUGAGACGCGAAAGCGUGGGAGCGAACGG
rnacentral:rRNA from 1 species